GGUUGAUCCUGCCAGUAGUCAUAUGCUUGUCUCAAAGAUUAAGCCAUGCAUGUCUAAGUAUAAACAUCUUUAUACAGUGAAACUGCGUACAGCUCAUUAUAUCAGUUAUGAUUUAUUUGAUGGUACCUUACUACAUGGAUAACCGUAGUAAUUCUAGAGCUAAUACAUGCGUAAAGUCCCGACUUUCGAGGGAGGGAUGUAUUUAUUAGAUAAAAAAUCAAUGCGGUUUCGGCCGGUUUCGUUGGUGAUUCAUAAUAACUACUCGAAUCGCAUGGCUUCAUGCUGGCGAUAGU
rnacentral:rRNA from 1 species